rnacentral:rRNA from 1 species
AUUGAACGCUGGCGGCAGGCCUAACACAUGCAAGUCGAGCGGAUGACGGGAGCUUGCUCCUUGAUUCAGCGGCGGACGGGUGAGUAAUGCCUAGGAAUCUGCCUGGUAGUGGGGGACAACGUUCCGAAAGGGGCGCUAAUACCGCAUACGUCCUACGGGAGAAAGUGGGGGAUCUUCGGACCUCACGCUAUCAGAUGAGCCUAGGUCGGAUUAGCUAGUUGGCGAGGUAAAGGCUCACCAAGGCGACGAUCCGUAACUGGUCUGAGAGGAUGAUCAGUCACACUGGAACUGAGACACGGUCCAGACUCCUACGGGAGGCAGCAGUGGGGAAUAUUGGACAAUGGGCGAAAGCCUGAUCCAGCCAUGCCGCGUGUGUGAAGAAGGUCUUCGGAUUGUAAAGCACUUUAAGUUGGGAGGAAGGGCAGUAAGUUAAUACCUUGCUGUUUUGACGUUACCGACAGAAUAAGCACCGGCUAACUCUGUG